CUACGGGAGGCUCCAGUGGGGAAUAUUGGGCAAUGGGCGCAAGCCUGACCCAGCAACGCCGCGUGAGGGAAGAAGGUUUUCGGAUUGUAAACCUCUGUCCUUGGGGACGAAGAAGUGACGGUACCCAAGGAGGAAGCUCCGGCUAACUAUGUGCCAGCAGCCGCGGUAAUACGUAGGGAGCAAGCGUUGUCCGGAAUUACUGGGCGUAAAGGGUGCGUAGGCGGCAUAUUAAGUCAGGUGUGAAAUACUCGGGCUCAACCCGGGGGCUGCAUUUGAAACUGAUAUGCUUGAGUGUGAGAGAGGAAAGUGGAAUUCCUAGUCUCGCGGUGGAAUGCGUAGAUAUUAGGAGGAACACCAGUGGCGAAGGCGACUUUCUGGCUCAUAACUGACGCUGAGGCACGAAAGCGUGGGGAGCAAACAGGAUUAGAUACCCCCGUAGUC
rnacentral:rRNA from 1 species